UCUUCCGUAUACGGUCUGCAUACAAACCACACCUCUCUCUCUCUCUCUCUCGUCUCUGUUCUGCAGCUCUACUGUCUCGCCUUCGCUUGUGCCGUCGCCGUCUCGCACCAAACCCCCAUCUCUCUUUUCUCCUUCUACCGACACACCACCACCAAUAGACCAUCGUACGUCCUUCCGCCGCUGGCGGCGACAGAUGCAGCAACGGUUGUGUGGUUCCGGUACCGGUGGAGGUUGUUGACUAGUCGUCGGCUCCUCCGGCUUACUUCGGAUGACUGGCCUUAAGAUCUACAACAUCUUCUCUCCUCAGAUCUACAACCUCUUCACUCUAGUCCGAGUUCUCCUCAUUCUCAUCAACAGUCGAUCAAUCCAAGUUACCUUUGCCAAAAGACAUAUCAGCUGAGGGAACACCAAUAUGUUGUACAAAGGCUGCAUAAUCUGAUCCCCCACCUCCUAACCUUCCAAUCUUCAUACAUGGAGUUCAGGUAAAUUAGCUGAACUAAAUUUUUUUUGACAUCAUUCUACCAAAUUUACUUUUCACUUUUUUGUUGUUGAAGAAACUUUGAAAUACUUACCAAGGAAUUAUUGCUAGAGCCAAACCAGGUGUCGUAGAUUGUUUGUGAUGAGUUAUCUGGGUCUUGAACCUUCCAAGAUAAGUACAAAUUUGAAUAAGUUGAGUUUUAAAAGGCUUUAUUGAGGUUUGCCUCGAGUUGUAAGGAAAAAUGCAUCGAGGCUUUGAUUUUUGUGCGAUACUCCGCACAAACAUGCGCAUCACAGUCUGAGAUGUGUGCCUCAUCUACACUUUAUAAGCCUUUUGAGCAUAAGCAUAUGAAGAGCUUGAACAUAAAAAAGAGGGACCUUGUAACUAUACCCCAUGAAAAAAUCAAGUAAAUGACCAAGAAAAAAAAGGAAAAAAAAAAAAACCAGUUAAGGCUCAAGUGAGAAGUUCAAUAACUAAAGCUACAAAUGUCAAUUUCACCUUCGAUGGAGGGUAGCUUCCUUCUCUACAGUAAAAUGUUUGAUGCUUUUAGGAGAAAAGCAUUUAAACCUUUAUAUUUAAUUUUUAGUAGUGUUUUAAUAUGUUAAAACAUUGUAUUUUUUUACUAAAUAUUAAAAAUGCUUGCGCCUCGAUGCCUUGAGGCUUAAGCUGCCUCAUGAGGGGUAAAAUGUCUCGCAUUAUGCAUUCUCCUUUAAAAACUUUAAGAUGAGUGGGAAAAUUAAAUAACUAGGUGAAAGAACAAUUAAAUCAAGAACCACUGAUAAGCGAAGUCAUCUGUUGUUUGUAUUUUUUUGUUUUUGUAGCCACUGUCACUAUUGUUUUUGGUAAUUCUUUGGGGUUACCUGUUGGGCGGCUUGUUUGAGUAGUUCAUCAAGCUGUGGAGUUGCAGAGGCGUAGAAACCUGCAUCAUCUACUGCAGAAUCAACAUUCAAAUAAGCAACUACUCUUGAAGCUAUCAUUUCCCUGUUUUCUUCAACCCAUUCUGUAGAUCCUAUCUGGAAAUGGGAAACGUUUUGAAUUUAGUCAAACUUGUUUUGUGAUGUGUGUGGAUGCGCGCGCGCGUGUGAGAGAGAGAGAGAGAGAGAGAGAGAGAGAGAGAGAGACCAGGCCAUACUCCUCAGCGUCCCAAUUGCAAAAGACAAUUGUUCGUCGUGGUUUCCAGCCUCUUUUCUGCAGCUUACCUAGCCUUUGUGCAACCUUCAUCCCACAUGAAAAUCAGGUAAAGGUCUAGUUAUUUGUUAAAAGAUGAGAAUUUUUUAAAUGAAGAAAAAGAGGAGACAAUAAGGGAAUGCAUUGGAUCCAUAAUUACCUCAAGCAUGGAUGCAGUGCCACUGUUAGGAUCAACAGCUCCAAAUGUCCAUGCAUCCCGAUGGUUACCCAGAAUCACAAAUCUAUGUAUAGUUGCAACACGGUGAUUAAAAUCAUUAUAAAGUAUUCUGGGGAAUGCAUAUUGGAGCUAAGUGAUGUUCUCCCUAAGAAGAACGGACACAAAUAGCAGGAUGCUGGUGGAUGAACUAGAGGCCAAAACGGUGAGGGUCCAGCCUACACGUUGGGAGAGGAAAUAUUGUCUCUCGGCACCACACAACAAUCUGGAGAUCCCAUCGCACCUAUGUGGCGGCCGAAACUAAGGUCCUACCACAUGCUCUGAGUGCCGAAGAGUAAAUUUCUCUUCAAUUCUAUGGAGUGACUAUGGAGAUUUAAAUCCAAGUAUUGAGCGAUGAAAUCUACUAAUGAGAUACAUGAAUAAUGAGGUUUGGUCAAUGAGUUAGUUCUAGUUAGUGAUAAGUUCUUGGAUUUUACAUCAUGCCCUCUCUCAGUUGAACUUUUCUACUAUUUGAGCUCCAAAGAAUAUUAUAGAUUUCGUGAGGGAAAAUGAAAUAAUCAUGGUGGCUGGAUUUUUUGGUGGCUCUUGAUGCCAAUGGUUUAUUGUUCUUGACAAAAUAUAUAUAUGAAUAGCCAGAUCUUAUGAAGUUUUUAGACUUAAAAGUUGCUGAGAUUCCUUAUAGGAUUUAUUACUGACCAGUACUACUUUUGGGACUUAAAUGCCUUAAACUCUAAUGAAUUUUUUAAAUGCACCAUUAAGGCCUAAGAUGCCUAUAGUACCUUUAUUAAUCUUUAUUAAUUUUUUCUUUUUCUCUUAUCUUCUCUCAUUCUAUCAAUUUUUAAAAUUUUUUUAGGUUGUCAUCUUCUCUCUCUCCCCUUCUUCUUCUUCUUCUUCUUUCUUUCUACACCACUUCUCUAAAGAGUUUCAAAUAAUCACCACCGUCUCACUGCCACUUUCGUUACACCACCACUGUUGCCAUGGCCAUUCACCUACCACCGAUCACCUCUACCAGCUACUGCUGCCACCAUCACCAUCCACCAACCAUCUCCAACAUUACCGAUUUACACUCCACCAUCUCCGAUCCACCAUUGUUCACCAAUCACUUACCGUCGCCAAUCUACACUCCAUUGUCGCUAAUCUACACUUUACUAUCUCCGAUCUACACUUCAUCAUCACAGAUGCAUCGUCAUCGCUGCAAAUCUAGUAAUCUCUAUCAUCCUCGUUAUCUACCAUGUUUCCGGCGAUCUCACAUGUUCUAAAUCUACACCAAUCUAGUUGUUUACAUGGUGAAAUCAACUUCAAUUGACUCAAAGCAACAAUGAUUCUCCAUAUCUCGUCUCUCUCUAUCUCCUUCAUUACCUCUUUAUUUCUUUCAAACCAACUUUGCUGCAAAAUCAAGAUUUAAUAAAUCAGUGAUAAAUUUAUCACUGAAUUUCUUUGUUU